CUGGUAGAUUAGCUAAUAUUCUAUUCUUAUACUGUAUCUGCAGCGGCCAGAUAUCUGCUUCAUUUGCUUCCCUGUGGUUAUUUGUUAUAUAAUGUAUUGUUUAACUUUUCCCUAAGUUCUUUGGAACUUUCUUGUGAUAAGGCUAGUUCAAUAAAUAAAGUUAAAACAUAGUGUGGAGUGAAACAAUAGUUAGUCUGAGGAAGGGGAACAGUCACUAUGGAUGUCGGUGUGAAAAAA